CCUCGGCUUGACAAAAAUUCAUCCCAGGAAAAGUCAAAAAACUACUCGGAAAACACUGACAAAGACUUAUCGAGGAGACGUUCCUCCAGGCUGUCCACUAAUGGGACCCAUGAGAUCCUAGAUCCUGACUUGGUUGUAUCAGAUUUGGUUGAUACGGAUCCUUUGCAAGACACGUUGUCUAGUACCAAGGAAUCUGAAGAAGGUCAAUUGAAGUCUACUUUGGAAGCUGGCCAGGUCUCAUCUGCACUAACUUGCCACUCCUUUGGGGAUGGAUCCGGGGCUGCAGGCUUGGAGUUGAACUGCCCAUCAAUGGGAGAAAACACGAUGAAAACGGAACCGACUUCUCCCCUUGUGGAAUUACAAGAGAUUUCGACUGUGGAAGGUUCAUAUUUAGAGUUAAAUUAAUCCUCUUUUUAUAUACACUUUUGCUUAUGCUUUGUGAACUA
rnacentral:sRNA from 1 species